UGAACAAUAUAAAAUAAAUCUCUGACGUCACCAAAAGCGCGGGCUUCCCGAGGACUGAGGUGAGCUCGUGACUCCAACCUGCCUCCUCAAAGAAGUCAAAGGAAGAACAGAAACGGACCACCUCAAGGCAAAAUAUGAAGCGUCGGGGAAAAAAAACAAACUCCUGCAAUUUGGUUGGACUUGAAGCAGUUCUGAAAAGUUCUCUAUAAACACAAAGGUUGGCUUCAGUUCAUUCUACAACCCACCUGUGAACUCCAGUCAAGCAGGUUCUGUGAUUGGCCUGCUGCAGACUCCGCCUACCUUUGUUUCGGGUGGCGGGCAUCUGAGAGAAGUGAGCCAGGAAGCCGG